ACGAAUAGGCGUAACGACUUCUCGACUGUCUCAACCACUAGGACCCGGUCGAAAUUAGCACUACGAGUAAAGAUGCUCGUUUCGCGCAGCAGGACGGAAAGACCCCGGGACCUUUACUACAGUUUGAUAUUGGUGUUCGGUUCGGCUUGUGUAGGAUAGCUGGGAGACUGUGAAGCGCUAACGCCAGUUAGUGUGGAGUCGUCGUUGAAAUACCAGUCUGGUCGUGCUGGAUGUCUAACCUGGGUCCGUGAUCCGGAUCAGGGACAGUGUCUGAUGGGUAGUUUAACUGGGGCGGUUGC
rnacentral:ncRNA from 1 species